GACGAGGGAUCCUAGCGUUGCUCGGAAUCAUUGGGCGUAAAGCGAAUGUAGGCGGCUUUGUAAGUCAGUUGUGAAAUCCCCGGGCUCAACUCGGGAACUGCUUCUGAUACUGCAAAGCUAGAGUAUGGGAGAGGGUAGUAGAAUUCCUGGUGUAGUGGUGAAAUACGUAGAUAUCAGGAGGAAUACCGGUGGCGAAGGCGGCUACCUGGACCAAUACUGACGCUGAGGAGCGAAAGCCAGGGGAGCAAACGGG
rnacentral:rRNA from 1 species